rnacentral:rRNA from 1 species
CGCGAAUAGCUCAUUACAACAGCUAUAAUUUACUUGAUCUUGACAAUCCUACUUGGAUAACUGUGGUAAUUCUAGAGCUAAUACAUGCACCAAAGCUCUGACCUUGCAGAAGGGAAGAGUGCAUUUAUUAUUUGAAAACCAAGCGGCUUCGGUCGUUUUUUGUUGACUCAGAAUAACUAAGCUGAUCGCAUGGUCUUGUACCGGCGACGUGUCUUUCAAGUAUCUGCCUUAUCAACUUUCGAUGGUAGUGUAUUUGACUACCAUGGUGGUGACGGGUAACGGAGGAUAAGGGUUCGACUCCGGAGAAGGGGCCUGAGAAAUGGCCACUACGUCUAAGGAUGGCAGCAGGCGCGCAAAUUACCCACUCUCAGAACAUUGAGGAGGUAGUGACGAAAAAUAACGAGACCGUUCUCUACGAGGCCGGUCAUCGGAAUGGGUACAAUCUAAACCCUUUAACGAGUAUCUAUGAGAGGGCAAGUCUGGUGCCGGCAGCCGCGGUAAUUCCAGCU